UACGAAGGGGACUAGUGUUGUUCGGAAUCACUGGGCGUAAAGCGCACGUAGGCGGAUAUGUCAGUCAGGGGUGAAAUCCCGGGGCUUAACCUCGGAACUGCCUUUGAUACAGCAUAUCUUGAGUCCGAUAGAGGUGGGUGGAAUUCCUAGUGUAGAGGUGAAAUUCGUAGAUAUUAGGAAGAACACCGGUGGCGAAGGCGGCCCACUGGAUCGGUACUGACGCUGAGGUGCGAAAGCGUGGGGAGCAAACAGG
rnacentral:rRNA from 1 species